rnacentral:rRNA from 1 species
CCUACGGGAGGCAGCAGUGGGGAAUAUUGCACAAUGGGGGAAACCCUGAUGCAGCGACGCCGCGUGAAGGAAGAAGUAUUUCGGUAUGUAAACUUCUAUCAGCAGGGAAGAAAAUGACGGUACCUGACUAAGAAGCCCCGGCUAACUACGGGCCAGCAGCCGCGGUAAUACGUAGGGGGCAAGCGUUAUCCGGAGUUACUGGGUGUAAAGGGAGCGUAGGCGGCGAUGCAAGUCAGAAGUGAAAGCCAGGGGCUCAACUCCGGGAGUGCUUUUGAAACUGUGUUGCUAGAUUGCAGGAGAGGUAAGUGGAAUUCUUAGUGUAGCGGUGAAAUGCGUAGAUAUUAGGAGGAACACCAGUGGCGAAGGCGGCUUACUGGACUGUAAAUGACGCUGAGGCUCGAAAGCGUGGGGAGCAAACAGGAUUAGAUACCCCGGUAGUC